ensembl:snRNA U6 U6 spliceosomal RNA
AUGCUCACUUCAGCAGCAUAUGGCUACAAUUGGAAGAAUACUGACAAGAUGAGCAUGGCUCCUUUACAAGGAUGACACACAAAUUUGUAAAAUGUUCCAUAUUAAA